rnacentral:rRNA from 1 species
UACGGAGGGUGCAAGCGUUAUCCGGAUUUACUGGGUUUAAAGGGUGUGUAGGCGGACUAUUAAGUCAGUGGUGAAAUCCCGAGGCUCAACCUCGGAACUGCCUUUGAUACUAUUAGUCUUGAAUGUUGUUGAGGUGGGCGGAACGGGUCAUGUAGCGGUGAAAUGCAUAGAUAUGACCCGGCACACCGAUUGCGAAGGCAGCCCGCUAAGCAACUAUUGACGCUGAGGCACGAAAGCGUGGGGAUCAAACAGG